AAAAUCAUCCUCCUAGGACAGCAGUUUCCAGGUCAAUCUUUGGUUGCCACAGCCUCCUUUUUUUUUUCCAGAGGAUCAAGAUUCCUGAUUUUAACUCACUAGAGGAAAGAGGUCACGAGCCAAGUGGAAGAAUAAGCCACACAACCACAAUGCUCAUCAGUGUGGAAAUCUGCUUUCAGUUGCUGUAAAUAUUUUGGAUGGAUUAUGAAGGAAAAACUAACAAAGAAUAUGGAAGAAAACACACAUCUAUGACAAAUCAAGAGAAAGAAGAGAUAAAAUGAUGGAAAAACAGAGCCUGAACUAUCACAGAUCUCACUUGGAGAGGACUACCAGAUCAAGGAGGCCUAAACUCAACAUUUUUGUCAGCAUCUUGUGCUGACUGCUAAGGCCAUUCUGCUGCAGCUCUCAGCUGGAAGGCUGUGCACCCUACUGAGCAAUAAAGAGGAGGUCAGUGAUACUCUAAAUCAGCCCCUGAAGGUCAGACACAACUUUAGAAUACCUCAGGCAACUGUACCAAGCCUUCCGCCAGCCACUCGCUGCAAAAGGAAUUCAGUUGUGUAUCAUGCUGCUUUUUCUACUGGGAUGUCUCUACUACACUCAAACAUCUGGAACAGUGAUAGGCACCUAAAUCAGAAGACAUUUAUUUUCAAAGGAAAGAGUUAUGGGUUUCACAGAAGAGAGGAGACUUCGUUGGCAUCACAGUUUGAAUUAAUUAAUUUUUUUCCUCUCUUAUAUUGUCUUCCCCAAGCAGAGAGGAUGUCUGCUUUGUUUUGUCCUUAUUGGAGAAUUUCACUAGGUACGAAGCAGCCAUUGCUUCUACUGUGUGUCAAGCAAAAUGUACAUACUUUUAAUAUUAAGAAUCUUCUCAAUUUCCCAUUUAAGAUCUCAACAGUGCAACAGUAGAAAAAAAAGUAUUUUAUCGUUCCUUAAAUAAAUAAUAAAAAUACAAAAAGCAGAAAGUAUAUGAUUGAACUUAUCUAGUGUUUUGUGAAAACCAGCCAAUGGAGCUGUGCAGAAACAUUCAAAUACUUCAUCUAAAAUUUUAAAAGUCUCAAGCAUAUGCAUAUGAAUUAUGUUCCUGAUAUUUUUCAGGUUUCUUCCUUUUUCAUCUUAACUUUUCAUCAUCCAGAAGAGUGUUUUCCUGAUAAUUAAUCCACAUAACUCCUUGAAAUUUCUCUUACUCCUAAGAGGCCAGAUGAGUCUUUUUCUCAGUAGACAGACAACUUCCUGAGCCACUUACUAAGUGAAAAAGAAUUUCACUACCUGUUACAGGGAGUUCUGUUAACCUUUCACUCAGAUAGCCUGCUAUUAUCUAAAGUCAUCUAUCUACAAAUGUGUAAGGACAGAGCAUUUCCUCAGUAAUAUAGCUCAUUGCCACAAUCAAGAAUAAAACAGGCUUCCUGACAGAGGAUAUUGAGCAUCUUGCCUUCAUCAAAAUAAAACAUUACCAGCUCUUGUCUACUCCUGACAAAAAAAUAAAAACAACAACAAAAAAAAAACCCUUUCGCUUAAAAUAUUGCAGGAAAACUGGUAGCUAAUUAGUAAGCUUUCCCCUGUGGCCUUACUAUUAUAUAAUAUUCUCUACACAAAUGAUGACUUAUUAAACAAUUCCCUGAUUUCCUUCACAACAGUGAAUUGAAUGUCUUUUUUUUUCUUUUUGGAGUGUUAUUCCAGUGUUAGUGAUGCAGCUCACCUCUAGGCAAUGUGAUAGAAGUGAACAAUCUUUCUUCUCAUUAUAGGUUCUGCUCCUGCUAAUCUUACUGUAAUAUUUUUUUUUUUUUUGUAUUUAGAGACUGAAUGACUGAAAAGCCCUCAUCCUUUCCAAAGGAGAUGAUUAUGUUCCCCUCCUUUCUAAGGUCCAUCUCGAACUUUCAUUUUUGUUAUUAGCUUUCAUAUGUUUAUAAAUACAUAAUUUAAUAAAUAUUAUUCUCCCACAAAGAUAAUACUUCAGUUUAUUUGAGAGUUUUCCUUGUUCAGAUUUAUUUUGAGAUUUCUUCAUUGGUUUGGAUCAAUUAAUUUCAAAUUUGUAAGAUUUUCUCCACACAACUGAAACAGUACCUGAUAAAAUAACAAUUUAAACGGUAUGACAGAAUUUAUCCAUGUAAUAUAUAUUUGUAUUUGUUUAUCUUCUGCAUAGAGUUAUGAAGUUAUGAUGCUCCAAUUUUUUUUUAUUCUUUUUUAAUUGAGGCCUUUGAGCAAAUUUCAGCCAACAUUUUCCAACCUGCUACUUGAGAGAGCAUCAAAGUGAUUUUAUUGUCCAAAACCCUACCACAUACCCUAAUAAUUGUAGACAAAGGUACAGGCAUAUAAUUCUCAGUGCAAAUUACUAUAAACAGGAGGUUGAUUGCUCUUUCCAUAUUGCUGAAACAAAAAAUAAAUCAAAUUAGUACCUCUGAUUACUGUGGUUUUGAAGAUUUUGAAUGGCUGACCAAAAUGGAAAUUUAGCCAUGUGAAGUUUAAGUUGUAGCAAAAGACCAAAAAUGCCAUAGGAUAGCCAUGCUAAAGUGUAUUUUCUCUUAUGUAUUUCUGUAUUCCUAGAACAAGACACUAAAUUAUAUUUAAGCAGUGCAAUGAAGAACAUGUUGAUAAAAAAGGGAUUACAUGUUUCUAAUUAUUCUAGUUAUCUGGCUAUGAUGGGGGAACAAGAAGAACAAGAUAAAUUUUAUAGAAUAACUUAUUUCAUAUAUUAUUACUAGUAGCUUCCAAAGGCCUUUUCCACUGAUUCUAUGAACAGCUUUUAUAAAAUAAAGAAAGGUGUAAUAACUGGUUUUGUUCUGCCACUCUAGUUUUUACAUAUGUACAUACACCAAAUAAACAGAGAAAAAAAAAAUUCUCUAUUUGAGUCACCAAGCAACAUUUUCUUAGUGGCAGUUUCAACACAAGAAUUCAAUUAAUCCAUGCAAAGAUUAUUCUGCAGUAACAGUCAGAAGAUUUCCCUCUGUUCAUCUUUUUUUUUAUUUUUUUCAUUCCUUGAUUUUCAGUAAGGGAAUUGAAGCAUUACAAAAUUAUUUCUCCCCAAUUAUUACUUCAUUUCUCUGCUGGACUCAUCAUUCAAGGACGAGUCUUAAAAAUUAGUUAGUGAACUCAAGUUUUAUAUUUUAUCUGCCAAAUGUGUGGAACAACUACUGCUUUUAGGUAGGAGAGCAGCCUCAAGCAAACCAGCCAUUACUGUCAUGUGUGUUUUUUACAUCAUUUUACUGGCCUACAGCUCAAUUUGCUUGAGUUUGUUACCCUGCUGCUUUUGUUUCCACUUUGCAUGUUUUUCAUAUAACAAUGCUUUUUUAGACUACGUAGGAAAAAUCCAGUGACUGCAUCUAAUUCAGAAUAAUUCUCGCUGUUUUUUCAUUUCUUAAUUGUAAUGCAUUUUGCUUUAUUUUCUCUUAGUUUUGUGCAUACAAUUUUAUAAUCAGAUUACACUAGAUAACUAAUUUUCAAAUCAUGAGAGCUGGAAGAUGGAUUCACCUUUGUGUGCGCUUGAAUGGACUGUUAUUCUCCAAAACAAAGAAUAAUACAGACAGUUUUGUUAUUUUUUAUUUUCACCAUUUUUUUAUAUCCUGAAAAAAAAAAAUCAGCAAUCUAACAUGUGACUUUUUGCAUACUCUGUCUGUCAGGAACAGUUGUCAUUCAUCAUGGCAGAAAGAAUAGGACUAAGAAGAACCAUGAUGUGACACUGACAAACUUAUUAGUCAAUAAAAUAUAUUUUAAUGAAAAUAUUCAAAAAGUUGGUAGCUAAUUCAAUGUAUUUCUAUUCAGUCUGUUUCCUUAAUAAGUGAAAUAUGAAAGGGCUUUUUUUUUUUUUUCUGACAUAGAAUAUUGCAACAAAUGCAGAGAUUUUUGAUACUUCAAAACCUAAGAGGAAAAAAAAUAUUAAUCCAGUGUGUACUGAAUCCUGUUUACCAUUACUCCUGAAAACAAUAAAUAUUAUUGGUUUAAAACUAGGUCAAAUUUAGCUCUUACUGUAUCCUGUCCAGGUAAAACUGCAGAAAUUCCUGAAGAUGAAGGAAGUUUUCAUGUCAGGUUCCCUCAUUUGGUCCCAUAGUAACAGAAGUGAAAGACAAUGGACCAAGAACUCCUCUACAAGUAGGUGUGGAAAGUUCCCUCUUUUGAUUUACUCAGAAGGGAGUAUGUACCAACCAAGUAAUGAUUUCUCCAGAUGAAAGUUCUUAUGCUUACAUUUUCAGGUAUCAUAAGUAGUUUCAUCUAGCUUCCACUGUUGAUCCAAAGAGAAUACUAAGAAAUAGUAUUUUUCAUCGCUUCCCCUGUCUUGAAUAUAUAUAUAAAAAUACUUUUGUUGUCUUUGUAAGCUUUAUAGUCAUCCUGAAGCUCAAUUGCCACUAACAAUUUCUUUAGCAAAUCCAAGUUACUGCUCUCUGCUUACUCAGUUUUCACUGUGAGGUCACUGGCAUACAUUAAACUGUAAUUUUAAUAUGUUCUGAAAAAAUUAGAGCUAGAGUAAUUUUCAUAAGACUCUACAAUUAUGAAAUUGUAAAGCAUUCCUAUUGAAUGAAUAUACAAGAAAACCUGUGUGGAUGUUUUUUUACUACCUGAGCUAGUUAUUCAACAAAUGUUUCAGUUUUCCUCCAUAAAAUGACCUCUGCAGAUCACUAAAAUAUAAGGUUAAGAAUUUUUUUGUUUGUUACUUGGCAAAGUAUUUUAAAGCAAGCAUUCAAUAUCAGUUUCUAGAAUCAUCCUUCAGUACAUCUUGAUUGCAUUUAUAUUUGCAUACAUUAGAUAAGAUCGUAGGAGUUUAAAGGGUUUUUUUGUUUUUUUUUUUAUUUUAAAUAAAAAUUUAA